rnacentral:rRNA from 1 species
AUUGAACGCUGGCGGCAUGCUUUACACAUGCAAGUCGAACGGCAGCGCGGGCUUCGGCCUGGCGGCGAGUGGCGAACGGGUGAGUAAUACAUCGGAACGUGCCCAGUAGUGGGGGAUAGCUCGGCGAAAGCCGGAUUAAUACCGCAUACGACCUGAGGGUGAAAGCGGGGGAUCUUCGGACCUCGCGCUAUUGGAGCGGCCGAUGGCAGAUUAGCUAGUUGGUGGGGUAAAGGCCUACCAAGGCGACGAUCUGUGGCUGGUCUGAGAGGACGACCAGCCACACUGGGACUGGGACACGGCCCAGACUCCUACGGGAGGCAGCAGUGGGGAAUUUUGGACAAUGGGCGAAAGCCUGAUCCAGCAAUGCCGCGUGUGUGAUGAAGGCCUUCGGGUUGUAAAGCACUUUUGGCGGGAACGAUAAGGACUGUGCCAAUACCACGGUUCGAUGACGGUACCCGCAGAAUAAGCACCGGCUAACUACGUG